rnacentral:lncRNA from 10 species
GAGUAGCUGGGAAUACAGGUGCCCACCACCACGCCUGGCUAUUUUGUACUUUUAGUAGAGAUGGGGUUUCACUAUGUUGGCCAGGCUGGUCUCGAACUCCUGACCUCAAGAGAUCCACCCACCUUGGCCUCCCAGUGUGCUGGGAUUAUAGGCAUGAGCCGCCACACCUGGCCAAUCAGUCUUAUUAAUCAAUAUAUCACUAGCACUCAGUACAUAUCUAGAAUAUAAAAGACACUUACACUUAUAGAUAAUUUCAAAAUAGUUAGUUGACUUUUUCUGGUUGCCUAAAUGUGCCAGGCAUAGAAACACAUAUGGAUCUGACCCAGGUAUAGACACAACAUGGCCAUGACUUGCAGUAGUGUGCUAAGGGAUCAACAGAGGUGGAAAUGAGAAAGGCUUCCUGUGGUGGUGGUGUGUGACCUGGAGCUCAUCACCUGGGUAGCAAUUUUGUAAGGAAAGUGAAAAAUAAUUCUUGUUCACACUGGGUGAGGAUAAGGGAAAGCAUUCCUAGUGGAAGUAAAUGACCCAAUUGGAGGAAAAUAAGGAGCAGGUAGAAAAAAGGCUAAAAGGCUUCAAGAAUACUGAGUGGCUGCAGUUUAGCUGAGAAGUAAGAAUCGUUUGCUGAAAGUCUUCAUGUUGAAGUAAAGGUCCCUGGCUUGCAAUACAGGUCACCUGUUUUCAUGAACUUCCAGAUAGCAGCAUAAAAGACGAGAGCCCACAUAUGGGAUGACUUAAAUUGGUGCGAGGAAAUGUGUGUGUCACUCUGAUCGGGAGUGGUACGUGCUGCAUUAUUAGCCCCAGCCUGAGGCCACAGUACAGUCAUAAAUCAAGAAGCGGGUGUUUAAAAAACAGUGGAAGUGUUAGGGAAACAUGAAGUGGCUGACCUGUGGGGCUGGGCUGUUCCUCCCUACGAGAACUUCUAUGACUAAUGAUGUGGAUAAAUAGUGCUUAACUUUCUUAUAACCACACGUGUAAUUUAUUUAAUUCUGGGAUACUAUGCAGUUCUGUUGAAGCCCCUUCAGAUGAUGGUGAUCAGUUGAAAAAGGUUACCCUCUACUCAGAAGAGGCUGGAGCUUUGUUCUCACCAAGGAGAUUCUUUUUUUCUGAUAACUGGGA